rnacentral:rRNA from 1 species
AGAGUUUGAUCCUGGCUCAGGAUGAACGCUGGCGGCGUGCCUAAUACAUGCAAGUCGAACGAGAUGCCUUUGAGCUUGCUUAGAGGUAUUCUAGUGGCGAACGGGUGAGUAACGCGUUGGUGACCUGCCCCGAAGUCUGGGAUAACAGUUCGAAAGGACUGCUAAUACCGGAUAUGGUCAUCGGAUUUAGAAACCGAUGUCUAAAGGAUUUAUUCGCUUCGGGAGGGGCCUGCGUCCCAUCAGCUAGUUGGUAGGGUAAUGGCCUACCAAGGCAACGACGGGUAGGGGGCCUGAGAGGGUGACCCCCCACACUGGGACUGAGACACGGCCCAGACUCCUACGGGAGGCAGCAGUGAGGAAUAUUGCACAAUGGGCGCAAGCCUGAUGCAGCGACGCCGCGUGGGUGAAGAAGGUUUUCGGAUCGUAAAGCCCUUUUCUUGGUGACGAGGAAGGACGGUAGCCAAGGAAUAAGUGUCGGCUAACUACGUGCCAGCAGCCGCGGUAAAACGUAGGACGCAAGCGUUAUCCGGAAUUACUGGGCGUAAAGCGCGCGCAGGCGGGUCAACAAGUCAUGCGUGAAAGCUCCUGGCUAAACUGGGAGAGGUCGGAUGAAACUGUUGGUCUUGAGUGUGGCAGAGGCGUGUGGAAUUCCGCGUGUAGUGGUGAAAUGCGUAGAGAUGCGGAGGAACACCAGAGGCGAAGGCGGCACGCUGGGCCACAACUGACGCUGAGGCGCGAAAGCAUGGGUAGCGAACGGGAUUAGAAACCCCGGUAGUCCAUGCCGUAAACGAUGUACACUAGACGUUCGUGCAACUACGGUUGAAUGAGUGUCGCAGCAAACGCGAUAAGUGUACCGCCUGGGGAGUACGGUCGCAAGGCUAAAACUCAAAGGAAUUGACA